rnacentral:rRNA from 1 species
GAUGAACGCUGACAGAAUGCUUAACACAUGCAAGUCGAUUCGAUUUACCUUCGGGUAUUGAGGAUGGCGGACGGGUGAGUAACGCGUAAGGAACUUGCCUCUUGGUCUGGGACAACUGUUGGAAACGACAGCUAAUACCGGAUAUUAUGAGAUUCUCGCAUGGGAAACUUAUGAAAGCUAUAUGCGCCAAGAGAGAGCCUUGCGUUCCAUUAGCUAGUUGGUGGGGUAACGGCCCACCAAGGCGACGAUGGAUAGCCGGCCUGAGAGGGUGAACGGCCACAAGGGGACUGAGACACGGCCCUUACUCCUACGGGAGGCAGCAGUGGGGAAUAUUGGACAAUGGGCCACAAGCCUGAUCCAGCAAUUCUGUGUGCACGAUGAAGGUCUUCGGAUUGUAAAGUGCUUUCAGUUGGGAAGAAGAAAGUGACGGUACCAACAGAAGAAGCGACGGCUAAAUACGUGCCAGCAGCCGCGGUAAUACGUAUGUCGCAAGCGUUAUCCGGAUUUAUUGGGCGUAAAGCGCGUCUAGGCGGAAAAAUAAGUCUGAUGUUAAAAUGCGGGGCUCAACUCCGUAUUGCGUUGGAAACUGUUUUUCUAGAGUACUGGAGAGGUGGGCGGAACUACAAGUGUAGAGGUGAAAUUCGUAGAUAUUUGUAGGAAUGNCGAUGGAGAAGUCAGCUCACUGGACAGANACUGACGCUAAAGCGCGAAAGCNUGGGGAGCAAACAGGAUUAGAUACCCUGGUAGUCCACGCCNUAAACGAUGAUCACUAGGU